UCUUCUUCUGAGUAUGACUCAAGCUUCAGCUCAAAUGCAUCAGCAUCAACAAUACUAGUGGAUGAGAUCCCAUGCGAGAAGCAAAAAACUGAGAAUGCUAAUAAUGCAGUGUCUGCUAAAAAGCGGGUUGAACGUGUCUUUCAAAGCAAGUCUGGUGGUGUAGAAGUUUUGCAGGAGUAUAAAACAACAGAAACCCUAAGUGAUGCCACAAGAAGACAAAUGGUGAACAUACUGGUGGCUCACAUGAUUGAUAAACAUGGGCACCUUCCUGCUAAAGCAAUGAGAGAGGAGUAUGCCCUUGGGAAAGGGACACUCUUCCCAUCCCUGAAAGAUCCAUACACCUAAAAAGGCUAUGAGCACUUUUAUGAUGCCGCAAGCAGCACAGGAUACAUUUCAUGGCGUCUUAAAACAGUCCAAAGGAAGAUUCGAAGAGGAUCUCUUGUGCCACCAAGUAGCUCCAAAGACAUUUCAUGUGGCGGCCCAAAUAUCCAGAGAAAUGUGGUUGUUGAAAGACAGCUUGAUGGGGAUGCCUGCCAGGAAGCCAUAUCCCUGCUUAACCACACCACAGACAGGUCCCCGAUCCUUCAGAAGAUGAGAGAGACUUUUGAGCACCAUCACAAACUUAUUAGAGAUGCCAGCGGAAGAACUGAUAUUCUGACAAUGUUCCCCAGGUUCCUGGACACAAAAGGAUUGAUUGAUCAAGACUUCAGUCUUCUGGUUAAUGAAGAAACCUCCUCCAGACUGCUGCAGAAGUGGGAUGUGUUCUUCAAAUCAAAUGUUAUCAAGGAGGCUAAGCGUCUCACUUCAACACCUCAGUUGAGACGUUUGGUGCAGUCAGCGGAAAUCCCUCAAGGAGAUGACCAGGAUAAGACAUCUACCUAUGACCAAGAAAUGGCCCCCUUGUUACUGCUCCUACAUCUCCUUCCACCACCACCUGGAGGACAGAAGUUUCCAAAAAUCAGUGCAUGUGAUGCAGUUGAGAGACUUUCAUAAGGCA